UACGAAGGUCCCGAGCGUUGUUCGGAAUCACUGGGCGUAAAGGGAGCGUAGGCGGCGUGGUAAGUCAGAUGUGAAAUCCCGGGGCUCAACCCCGGAACUGCAUCCGAUACUGCCGUGCUAGAGGAUUGGAGAGGUAGCUGGAAUUCACGGUGUAGCAGUGAAAUGCGUGGAUAUCGUGAGGAACACUCGUGGCGAAAGCGAGCUACUGGACAACUCCUGACGCUGAGGCUCGAAGGCCAGGGUAGCGAAA
rnacentral:rRNA from 1 species